GGUAAGCUUCAUUUGGACUCUUUA
rnacentral:siRNA from 1 species